CUGGGUGUUCCAUCACCGGAACUGUGGAACUCCGAACCUCUACCCUCAUUUCGCUGGCAUUUGAAUGGGAUACUAUUAUCCUUCAUUAUCCUCUGUCCUCUCCACUCCCGUCCCUAUCAUCAGACGCAACAAGGUACAAUCUCUAAUUUCUACUUAUUUAUUUUUUAAUUUUUUUAUGCUCCUUAAUUUUGGUAGAAACCAUACAUAUAAUACCUUCUUAUCUUGUGUUUGUCAGUUCAAUUUAAUUUUUUUAUUGAAAAUUGAUCAGUUGAAAUUACUCAAGUACUGAGCUAAAAUGGUGCUGAAAGUGAAGGCUAUGUUUGGAAUUGGAAAGAUAUAGGGUAAGGAAAGGAAGAUGAGAGCUUGAUCAACAGUCCAUUCCACUUCUUUUUAGCAUUGAAUUUUUUAUCAGACUUGGGUAGUUGGGUUUAAUUUUUAUUUACUUUAUUCCUAGCAUUAUCCCUUCUCAAAUAAAGCCUUGAACUUUAUGAUUUUUAAGUGGUGGACAAUCAAUUGAUAUUAUCAGAAAUUUAUGUUAUGAUUUUGAUAAUACCAAAUGAUAAGUACAGUGACGACUGGAAGCUUUAGUCUCAUGCAUUUCCUUGUAGUGAUAAAACUGUAAGAAAAUUUUAGUCAGAAGAAAAUUUAAAAUUUUAUCACAUACUUGGUCUUUAUUUCUCACUACAAGUAGGUGAUACUGUUAGCUUUAUUUCUCUCUGAAACAUGUAUAAGUGUGAAUACAAUUUGGUUUGAAUUAUUCUCAGAAUUGCGCAGAAUUGAGACCAACCCAAGCUUUUACACAAGGAUUUCAUCAAUUGAGGGUUUUGACUCUCAAGGCAAUGCAUGAGACUAAGGCUUCCACAAUGAUAAGUGAAUGCUUUAAGCAAAGAAUCCCUCAUGUUUUGACUGUCGCUG
rnacentral:lncRNA from 1 species